rnacentral:rRNA from 1 species
AGUUAGACAUGGAAAUUGAUACCCGGUUAUUCCUUGGCACUAAUAGGUGUAUUAGCCGCCGGAGUACUACGGACACAUGUUUAAAAUUCAAAGAACUUGGCGGUCGGCUAACCUACCAGGGGAACAUGUGCCUUAAUUCGAUGGUCCACGAUGUACCUUACCCUCCCUUGUAAUCUGRUUAAAGCAGAGCUGUCAGCCGCUAUACCGCCGUUGUUACUUUUUCGUCUGAGUGAGGAAAAGAGGGGGAGGAUGGUAAAGAAGAACAUGAUGUUUCUUUUUACCACGAAGGCAGGUUUAGGUAGCGCCUAAGGGGGGAGGGAGUAUGUGUUACAAGCCUGAAUUUGGAUUACGGAGCAGGGAAGGGAAGAUUGCCUGUGAAGGUGAACUUGGCAGUAAAGCGAGAGUAAUGGGCUCGCCUGAAGAGAAGCAAUAGCCGGCGUUCAAAUCGCCCGUCGCUCUCUGCGAAAGUGGGGAU